AUAGGUCAUAGAGUUGAAGUUACCUAUCUAAUUUGAUGUACAUAUUGAUUGAUAUACAUGAUGGGACCUUGUUUCUAAACUAUGUUUCUUAUGCUGGUCAUACACGAUACUGUCUACUAGAGAGGUCUACGCAGGUAGGCCAGAGCGUGUGUUGGAAAAAACCUGUGCAGUUUUUUAACCUAUACAGGCGGCUGAUGCAAGAUCGAAAAUUAAUUAUUUCGAGUGACAUACGAUGUAUCUGUGCGUGUAUGCAUGUACUCCGGUCGUGUUGGUUUUUUUAUAGCAUCGUCGUUGUUGGCUGUUGCAUCAUAUUGUCACGUGUAUCAAAAAAUCAACACGGGAAAAUGGCACCACCAGAUUUAACUAAAGUGCUUGAAAAUUGUAUCAAAAUAUUUAGAACUCAUCCAUGUCUUUGGCAAAUUAAAAGCAAAGAAUACCAUAAUCGAGACAAAAAAGAAUCUGUUUAUAAAUUGCUCAUAUAAAAACUGAGAGAAAUUGAGACAAAAGCAAACUAAGCAGUGGUUAUGCGAAAAACUAAUAAUUUGAGAAACAACGUUAGAAAGGAAAAGAAGACAUGAACAAUCUUUAAAGUCUAGGACAUCUGUUUAUGAAGUAUACUGUGUCAAAUUGUGGUACUACAAUUUAUUUUAUUUUUUACAUGAUCAAUGCUCUCCCAGGGAAUCUCCAUCCAAUUUGGAUAACUAUGACGAAAAUAGUUGUGAGGUUAGUAAAAUGUAUAUAGCAUACAUAGCAUAGACUUCACCAAUGUGUAGUGUCAAUAAAGAACUACUAAAUAACAUAGUAAUUCA